UAUUGUGAUGCCAUUUUGUGCUGUGAUCUUAUCAGAUUCACAAUUUAAGCAGGGUUGGGCUGGAUUGGGACUUGGAAGAGAGACCCUCAAGAAAUGCUCUGGUGCUGCAAGAA
rnacentral:rRNA from 1 species